rnacentral:misc_RNA from 1 species
CUUCAAUUUGGGGCAACUGCUUUAAAUUUGUUUGGAAGAAACUCGAGAUAUUCAUUUUUUUUCCAAUUGUCAACAUCAACAUCAAUGAACAACUUCUUUGAGGUGAGUUUGGCUGGCAUCCACACCUUAUCAGUUUAUGCUAUAAAACCAAUUCUCUGGCAAACUGUAGAAGCUAAAACUACAAAGGAUUAUGGGACUUCUUCAUAGUG